rnacentral:lncRNA from 1 species
AUUGGAUCCAGUGGUGUGUUUCCAGUUGUAUGAAGGAUAGCUGUAUUAUGUAAAGUGUAAUUAUGACCUUUUUAUUGUCUUUAUUUGAAGAUCAUGUAUUAUCUCGUACGGGUUCAGGUUUGACAAGGGGUAGACUUGUGAUGGUUAAUAGUUAGUGUCAACUUGAUUGGAACGAAGGACACAAAGUAUUGAUCCUGGGUGUGUCUGUGAAGGUGUUGCCAAAGGAGAUUAACAUCAGUGCAGCAAGAAUAUAAGCAAGCAGAAAAAUGUGAACAGAGACUGACCUAGCUUCCCAACCUACAACUUUCUUCCAUGCUAAUGCUUCCUGCCCUUGCACAUCGGACUCCAACUUCUUCAGUUUUGGAACUUGGACUGGCUCUCCUUGCUCCUUAGCCUGCCGACGGCCUACUGUGGGACCUUGUGAUCAUACAAAAAAGAUGGAAUUUGGAGGACAAGACAAGAGAUACUAAGAAGAGUAAACCCAAUAAACAGACUGCAGCACAGAAAGGGUCCAGGACCAGGGAGGUGGCUUGUUCAGGAAAGAGUUAACUCAACAGGUCUGGGAUAUUCAAAUCCCACACAUUUCGAAAAAAAGUUCUCUCCUCAUUGGCUCCUGGGAGAAAAUCUCUACGUCUUUGGACUAUUCUUCCAGAUUGGAGACUGAAAAGAAGAGAAGUUAAGGAACUUGUCUAAGAUUAUCAAGCAAAAAUUUAAAGCUGAAGUUUCAAUAUUUUCUCAGAAAACAAGAAAAGUUAGUGAUCUCAUUAUAGAAAUCUGUUGCCCAGGGAAGAGGAAAUGGUGCCAUUUUUUUUUUUCAAGAUUUUCUAUUGGGCAUGAAAAUUGCACUAAUUUUCCAGGGUGUUGGAAGAAAUUACAAAAUCUUGAAAACCUAUUAUACAUAAAAUAGACUUACUGUUGUUUUCAUAGGACUCUUCACAUUCUUUAGGACAAUCAGUUUACUUUAUAUAUUUUAUAGUAAACAGUGAACAAGUUAAGAGGAGGGACAUGAUUGUAUGUAUAUUCGUAUUACCAACAUUUAGUGCAGUGUUUUAUGUAUGUGUAUUAGAUUCUUAGAAAAAUACUUGAGAAAAUAAAUCUUGCCCCUUCCUCAAUUUUUCUAAGCAGGAAUGAUUGGACUCUAGUACCUACAAGUAGAUAAAGUAAUCUGGACAGAGCAAUAUAAAAUAACCAUCUCUGCGGUAUGGCUGUCCCUUGAAUUACCCUGCACAAAGAAAUGCCAGAAUGGCAUUAAUCUAAAUGCUAGGUGGGAAAAAUGAACACACUGCCUUCUAAAUCACAUCAGCAUAGAGGAGAUUAAUGACUAUUAUUUAAAGACUAAAUCAAAAGAUUGCAGUAAAGGCAGUGCUUCCAUUUUGGUAUAAAUUUAAAAUAUUUGCCCAUUACAGACUAGCAUGGCAGUCUCUUGAGUUUUAGUGAAAAUUUAAUUCAACAAUUGAAGUAACAUUUGGUGCUUUCACAAGUGAUAACACUUUUUUUGUUUGGUCAAUACAGGACAUUAUAGUUUGUAAAGUAUUUUGUGAUAUUUUAGCCUCUUUAUUCUUCACGCAAAAAAACUGAAGGUAGAUAUUAUUGGGUUAUUUUUAUUUUGUGAAGGAGAAAAUUAGAGAGGCUAUUUAGCAGUUAGGUGGUGCUCGCUCUCUUGCACUCUGACACUUAAAAGUAUGUGUUUACUAUCUCUAUUCCCCAAGAUCCACAAACAUUUCUACUUUGCUUACUUUUCUGUCUUUACUACAUUGCACAAUCGCCAGCCCUGAGUAGGUGUAAGAAAGAUAUUUUAAGAUAAAUUAGGGAUCGUUAUUUUCACUAUAUUUCACUGCCAAGACACUGUGCUAGGUCCUGGGGUUAUACAAAAUUAAGACAGAUUUUUAUACUCAAAUUCUUUGCAAUAUAUUAGGAAGUUGUAGUGAAAAUGUCAUUCUAGAAGGAAGGACAGAAGAAAGGAAGAAAGGAAGGAAAGAGGAAAAGAUAGUAGGAUUAAGAAAUAAUACUCUUUUGUAAUAGGCAGAAUAAUGGCUCCCCCAAAAUAUCCAUGCCCUAAUUCCUGAGAUUUGUGAAUAUGGUAUCUUCUGUGGCCAAAGAGACUUUACAAAUCUGAUUGGCAUCCUGGACCUUGAGAGGAGAUUAUUGUGGUGGGCCAAUAUAAUCACGUGAGUCCUUAAAAGCAUGGAAACCUUCUCAGGUAUGGUGAGAUAGAGAGAGAGAGAGAGGAGUAAAAGUGAUGUGAUAGGAGGAGCUGACCUGCAUUUGGCAUCUUUGAAGAUGGGGCAAAAGACCCAUGAACCAGAAAGUGAGGGCAGAUUCUAGCAGCUGACAAGAAAAUAGAUUCUCCUCUAAAACUUCCUGAAAGGAAUACAGUUCUUCAGACACUUUGAUUUUAGUUCAGUGAAUCCCUUGGCCCUCCAACCCACAGAAAUGUCAGACGAAUACAUUUGUAUCACUUAAGCAACUAAGUUUGUGGUAAUUUGUUAGAGCAGCAAUAGAAAACUGAUGUAUCUUUUUUUUCCACCUGAAUGGCACAGGAAAUAUAAAACUGGGAAAACUGUUCAUUAGAAUUGAAAGCAAGGCAAAAGAACCAUCUUAGUUCAGACUUCUGUGUUUUCUACUACACACAGCAGAAAUAGAUUGAAAUUAAAGGACCCACCAGCCUACAUCUCAAAACUUUCCUUUGAAAUAAGAACAUGUCUUUCCUCCCAAAUAAACCAGAAGAGAGCCUAUAUCCCAUGAAUUGCCUUGACAGGAAAACGGCUGACAGGGACAGGCCGUGAGAUUCCAAACAAGUAUUUUAACUAGAACGCCUUUCGUUACUACAGAUUAGCAGAUGUCAUAGCAAUGGUAAUGUCAUUACUCAAGAUUUCCUGACAGAAAGCCUGUAGUAGUGUACAGGUCUAGUAGUGACAUCUUCCUGUUCCCAACAGAAAGCCUGUAGUAGCAGGGAGCAGUUUUUGAGAGUCUUCUUUGACGCAGGAAAUGUUUAAUAAUCUGGAUAGGACCUGAGAAUUCAGAUGACUGUGUAGUUGUACUUAAUAUACGCAGCUUUUGGUGGAGAUAGUAGUAGCCCCAGAGAAAGUUUUUACUUGGCAGUAAAGUUCUUUGCUGUCUUAAUGAUUAUUUUAGUCAACAAAUGAUCUUAAGAAUCAAGGCUCUUCCUUCUCUGGAAAGAGGCAUAUUAACACUGGGUUUAGAAGUUAAUUCAGUACAUUUGUCCCAAAUAGGAUAAUCUAUGCAAAGAUGAAUUUUGCCUACCAGGAUUGUCAAAGUGCUAAAUCAUGCAAACUCUUCUCUGCAUAAUAUUUAUUUAUUUAUUUUUGUCUCUUAGUUCCUAUUGUCAUUCCAUGCUUUCCUCUAUAUUUCUAAGGGACUAAAAGCCUGCAAAGUAUAUUUUUGUUAACUCCAAAGGACAGACUUUCAGGGCAGUUUACCAGGAGACAGCUUUUACAAUGAGUGCACUGGCAAGAGGAAGGAAAAAGCCAUUUUUGCUGCUUCAUGUGUUGCCUACACAGAGACUGUUACAGUGGCUUCAGCAGAGUCAGUGGUUGUGUCAACAGCAUCUGGAGCAGAGAGGGCAAGCUUAGUUCAUAUGAAGCAGCAAUAGCAACAGAAGAAAAGGCAGUGACAUCACCCUCAGCUUGUUGGAGGUAAGUGUGACCUUAUGGACUAAGGCAAGUGACCGUAACACUCUCCAAUGGCUGCUCACCAUCCCCUUCAUAAUCUCCAGUCACUUCUCCAGAAAACCCCUUCCUUUAACUCUCUAGAACUCUCUGCCAUCAAUUUAUUUAUUUCUAUUCCUGUCUGUUUGAUAUCACCAGAGAGGCUUUCAUUUCCCAACUAAACUUUGGCUGCUUUGGUAUUUGUUAAAGAAGCAAACUCAGAAAUAGGCUUUCAAGGAUUGGAAUGUGAGUUUGUUAAUCUAUUUGUCAUCUGAAAGUUGUGACUUUUUUGCCAGUGAAUAAUGGGCUAUUUCUGUUUCAUGUCAGCAAAUGCAAAACUGUACAUCAACUGGAUUAAAUUAAAGGCAAGUAUGUGAGGCUGAAAUGGGCUAUUUUGCUUGAUUAUAAUGGUAGGAAUGAUGAGUACAUUGUGGAAUACAUGGGCUACUUCUGAUUGCACUGGAAGAGCUCAGUCAGUGUACAUUCAGAAACACUGAAACCAUCAGAGAUAUUUCAGUCUCCAUCGGCCCCCUUCCAGAGGCACCACAAUAUGCAGAGAAUAAAGGACUCCUUUCUUACUCCCACCUUCCAAUUCAUUAUUACUUCCCCAUGGCAGAAGCUAAAUAAUCAAGAUGGUAAAGGAUCAGUGGAAAUAAAGUUUUUAGGCUUCCAGCUUCCUGCAGGGAAGGGAAAUCACAAAAGGUUAGAGCAGAGCUAAGUGCCUAUAGACAAAUAACCAGCUCAGUGAUUACAUUGUUAACAAGUUUUAUAGUUGGCCCU